UCAUCCCAUCGGAAAGUGUAUGUCCAUAUGUAUACUGUUUUGAAUAUGUCGGAAAUGGAGGCUGCGCGGACUGAUGACGACACCCAACUGUCUGUGUUUAUGAGUCAAUGGAGGGGAAGAUAGAUUCUGCAUCAUCAUAGAGAGCAGAAGCGCCCGCAGUGCGCCCGCGCGGUCAAAGCCCCGCCUUCCUUUCGCUCAUCUGCAUGCACGGAGGAACGGCAGUUUCCUUUUCUCUCUGGCCUCCAUCUUGGAACGACGCGCCGUGGAGCUGGAACCAUGCAACUCUUCAUUCGUGCUCAGAGUCUGCACACCCUUGAGGUGUCUGGAGAAGAAACAGUAGCUCACCUCAAGAUGCGUUUUUGCUCUUGCACAUGUAUCUGAAACCCAGAUGGGAGGGCAGCAGAAAAUCCGUGGAUGCAGAUACUUUUUUCCUGCAAAUUUCUGCUUCUCAAAGCUGUUCUGGAAGUGCCUUUGAGGAUUUUGAAGCUUGUGUUACAACACAAUAAUGUGUAGUUUCACAGCCCUGCCAAGAGUCUUGGUAAUUUAACCAGCCCAGGAACCGCCCAAUCGGCGUAUGAUUGGCCCCUCGACGGUGGCCGGAAUUGUCCGAGUAAAAACGACGGCGAGGAGGAAGUUGUCGCCAAAGCGUUUUCAGAGACGGAGCUAACCGACAAUUGCCGGAAAUACCCGAACACUCUCGGAGAUCUUCGGCCAUCUCCUGCCAACUAUGGAUGCCACAGGUUCGAGCCCCGCGGCCGACCCUUGCUGCGGGUUGUGCCUAGCGGAGCGGGCUCCUUACACCUGCCCGCGCUGCCACCUGCGUUUCUGCUCCGUGCCCUGCUACCGGGAGCACGGCUCUUGCGCCCAGGACUUCCAGCGCCGGGAGCUGCAAAUCCUGCUCCAGGGCCAGCGGGAGGAUCCGGCCUCUCAACGCCGCUUGAGGGAGGCCCUCCUCCGGUUGCAGGACCUACGCGAGCCCGGGGAUGCGGAUACCCAGCUAGGCCUCGAUCCCAGUGUGGAGCAAGAGCUGUGGGAGCAACUGAGCCCUGAGCAGAGGAAGUGUUUCCAGAGGUUACUGAACAGUGGGGAGAUCUCGGCUCUCUUGCCGCCUUGGAAACCUUGGUGGACGGGGGGCAGCCGUGGGGCAGUGCUGGUUCAGGAACUGGGGGAGCCCUCUGAGACCCUCCACACCCCUUUGCAACAACCGGCACCCUCCCAGUGCACUGGGGCCUUGCAGCGCCCACACACUCCAGUGCCUUUGCAAGAGACUUUCCAGAGCCCUCCACAGCCAGCGGAUGCAUCGAACCCAGUGCCAGCGGUGCCCGGGGUCAUCGCACCUUUGCUCAGCCUGACCCGUUCGCCUGUCUCCCCCCUGGUUUGCUUCCAGCUGCCCAACGUGCUAUACGCCUAUGCCUAUUCCCUGGCGCUUUAUAACGGGGAUGUGGAGGAAGAUCAGCUGCUCCCUGAGUUUUGUGAGACAGUUCUGGAUGUCUCGGGUGCCCUGGGGGCCAAGCAAGGCUUCAGCUCCACCGCAGAGGCUCUGCAGGCCGCCCUGCAGGCCAUAACCACAGGGCGAUACCCUGAAUGCCUGCUGGGCAAUGCUGGAGUGAUGGCAGCUGUGGCCCAGAUCUUAAUGGGGGAAUGCCAAGCCAAGCAAAAGGGGUACAGCUUGGCUGCCCUUGCCCACCUUUCCAGGUUGCUGAGCAAGGGCAAGAGGCGGAUGCCCGUUGGGGAUCAACCCAGGCUGUAUGCUGCCAAGAAAAAGUGUGCAUUUCUUUUGUCCUGGGUGAAUGAUAAUGAAGGGGAGUUAACCCUCCUGGCCAUGGAAGUGCAGAGGGAAUACAAGGCCCAUUUGGACGCAGUCAAGGAGGUGGGAGCUGUCACCCAGGAACUGGAGAAGAUGUGGGGGGCCAAAGUGCCUCCCCCCAAAAAGCCCUUGAUAGAAGAAUUGGAUUGAAGGGCUAGACUGGAGGCUUGGAAACUGGCACACCUGCUGGCCUAGGGGGGAGAACGGAUUCUCCCUACUGAAGAUUGGAUUAGGGUUUGAGCAGGAAUAAAUGCCUUGUGAAUAGGAAGUUGAUCUCAGAUUAGUCACAAGCACAGAUGUCCAAGUGGAAUUGAUUAGCACCUUUUCUUUUUCAGGGAAGAGAACACCUUGAAUCGGAGCAUAGCUGGAGUUUUGAGAGAUGUGGGGAAUCAGGCUUGUAAUAAAAUGUCCUUGGAUGAUGCAAGAGCGAAGAAACAGCUUAGUCACCUCACCUGAUGUGCUGGGAUUGGACACUGGGGGGUGCUAUAUAAGCCAGCUGUGUCUGGUGUAAGUGUGGAGCUUGUUCCAGUAAGUGUUAGCGAAGCACUUUGACACUGAGAACAAAGUCUUGUAAAUAAACUGUACAUACACUUUUA